GAGGCGUGGCCGAGUGGUCGAAGGCGGCAGUCUUGAAAACUGUUGAGCCGAGAGGUUCCGUGGGUUCGAAUCCUACCGCCUCC
rnacentral:tRNA from 1 species